CAGAAAUGGCAUUAUGGAGAGAGAUAAGAUCACUUUUAAGAUGUAUAAUAUUUGAUAAUUACAAGAAUUUAUGGAGUGUGACAUAAUAUUUUUAUGAAAUUUAGAAUUUAGAUUUAAAUUGCUGACUGCCCUAAAACAUCAGGGGUUUACUAUAAAAUCUGUUUCCUUUUACAGAUUUGUCUGAAUGGUUCUCAGAGAAUUCUUACCAGAAAAUGACUCUGUCAAGUUCCUGGUAAUCUGUUUUGUUGAACUAUGGAAUCCUUUUACCAAAAUGAAGAGAGAUGACAACUAGUCUUGUCCGGUAUUCUCCAAGCUCCCAGAAAGUACUAUCAGGAUUAUUCAGGUUCAAACCUGCAAGGUUUUCUUAGCACACCCAACUUCUGCGAAUUGCUGCUGACUCUGAAGAAAUGAUGAGCUUGUGCUUGGUUUUUCCUAUUGGAGAGAAUUCCACUCAGGUCAUUUUGGCUUCUCAGCUGCAUGAAGAUACUGCAGCAGGAUGUGAUACUGGCAUGGGAGAUGGCAGUUUUCCAUAGAUGACA
rnacentral:lncRNA from 1 species